rnacentral:lncRNA from 1 species
CUCUGAUCCAGACCUACAGGGAGCGUGAAAUGCGGACGAGACCGCGAGGGCUCCGUGCCAAAGAAGAGUGUCGAACAUCGCGCCGAUGUUUUUAGGUCAUGAUGUCUUCAUCGGUGUUCAGAGGAGGCCAGCUGGGCCACACAGCAGCAGCCUGAUGACUCCGAGUGAGCCGCGGCCUUGGGUCUGGACAUCUUCUUGCCAUGCAGUGCCAUUGGCUAAGAGCCCCUCGUUGGCAAGGCAUCGAGAAUCCAUCUCCUUAAGGCCUGGCGCUGGCACGGUAUUAGAUGCUGAGAGGCAAGGUGGACUUCGAGGAAGACAAGACUGGAGCAGCGAGGAGGCAUCUGUGAACAAGAC